rnacentral:rRNA from 1 species
CCUACGGGUGGCAGCAGUGAGGAAUAUUGGUCAAUGGGCGCGAGCCUGAACCAGCCAAGUAGCGUGAAGGAUGACUGCCCUACGGGUUGUAAACUUCUUUUAUAAAGGAAUAAAGUGAGGCACGUGUGCCUUUUUGUAUGUACUUUAUGAAUAAGGAUCGGCUAACUCCGUGCCAGCAGACGCGGUAAUACGGAGGAUCCGAGCGUUAUCCGGAUUUAUUGGGUUUAAAGGGAGCGGAGAGGGGUGUGUAAGUCAGUUGUGAAAGUUUGCGGCCCAACCGUAAAAUUGCAAUUGAUACUGGCAGUCUUGAGUACAGUUGAGGUAGGCGGAAUGCGUGGUGUAGCGGUGAAAUGCUUAGAUAUCACGAAGAACUCCGAUUGCGAAGGCAGCUUACUAAACUGCCACUGACAUUGAUGCUCGAAAGUGUGGGUAUCAAACAGGAUUAGAUACCCUUGUAGUC